rnacentral:rRNA from 1 species
GGAACGGAGCGUCAUAGAGGGUGAGAAUCCCGUCUUUGACACGGACUACCAGUGCUAUGUGAUGCGCUCUCGACGAGUCGAGUUGUUUGGGAAUGCAGCUCAAAUAGGGUGGUAAAUUCCAUCUAAAGCUAAAUACAGGCGAGAGACCGAUAGCGAACAAGUACCGUGAGGGAAAGAUGAAAAGAACUUUGGAAAGAGAGUUAAAUAGUACGUGAAAUUGCUGAAAGGGAAACCUUGAUGUCAGUCGCGUCGGCCGGGGGCAACCUUGCUUCUUCGCUCGGUGUAUUUCCUGCUCGACGGGUCACAUCAUGUCGUACUCGCCGUAAAGGGCGAAGGGAACGUGGUACUCUUAGGAGUGUGUUUAGCCUUUCGUCGUAUGCGGUGGUCGGCACUGAGGAUCUCAGCACGGCUUCGGUCUGUGCUCAGGAUGCUGGCAUAAUGGCCUUAAGCGACCCGUCUUGAAACACGGACCAAGGAGUCUAACAUGCCUGCGAGUGUUCGGGUGUCAAACUCCGUGCGCGCAAUGAAAGUGAAAGUCGAGACCUCUGUCGUGGGGGGCAUCGACGCCCGGACCUGAGUCUUUGACCAAGGAUCUGCGGUAGAGCAUGCAUGUUAGGACCCGAAAGAUGGUGAACUAUGCCUGAAUAGGGUGAAGCCAGAGGAAACUCUGGUGGAGGCUCGUAUCGAUUCUGACGUGCAAAUCGAUCGUCGAAUUUGGGUAUAGGGGG